GACGAACCGUCCAAACGUUAUUCGGAAUCACUGGGCUUACAGAGUUCGUAGGCGGUCGGGAAAGUUGGGUGUGAAAUCCCUCGGCCUAACCGAGGAACUGCGCUUGAAACUACCAGACUCGAGGGAGAUAGAGGAAAGCGGAACUGAUGGUGGAGCGGUGAAAUGCGUUGAUAUCAUCAGGAACACCGGUGGCGAAGGCGGCUUUCUGGGUCUCUUCUGACGCUGAGAUACGAAAGCCAGGGGAGCGAAGGGG
rnacentral:rRNA from 1 species